rnacentral:rRNA from 1 species
UACGAAGGGGGCUAGCGUUGUUCGGAAUUACUGGGCGUAAAGCGCACGUAGGCGGAUAUUUAAGUCAGGGGUGAAAUCCCAGAGCUCAACUCUGGAACUGCCUUUGAUACUGGGUAUCUGGAGUAUGGAAGAGGUGAGUGGAACUCCGAGUGUAGAGGUGAAAUUCGUAGAUAUUCGGAAGAACACCAGUGGCGAAGGCGGCUCACUGGUCCGGUACUGACGCUGAGGUGCGAAAGCGUGGGGAGCAAACAGG